rnacentral:rRNA from 1 species
CACGUAGGGGGCGAGCGUUGUCCGGAUUUAUUGGGCGUAAAGAGCUCGUAGGUGGUUCGGUAAGUCGGGUGUGAAAACUCUGGGCUCAACCCAGAGACGCCACCUGAUACUGCCGUGACUGGAGUCUGGUAGGGGAGUGUGGAAUUUCCGGUGUAGCGGUGAAAUGCGCGGAUAUCGGAAGGAACACCAGUGGCGAAGGCGGCACUCUGGGCCAGUACUGACACUGAGGAGCGAAAGCGUGGGUAGCGAACAGG